GGCCGACAGGCGUAGUCGAUGGAUAACGGGUUGAUAUUCCCGUACCGGCGCUCGCUCGCCAAUGCUGAAUCUUCCUGUACUAACCUCCCGCUGAUUCCCUUUCGGGGGUUGAGGUGGUUGGGAUCUUGGGGGGUAGUAGGCAA
rnacentral:rRNA from 1 species